AAACUGAGUAUUAAUUCAUCCUCAUAAAGCACAUGUCUCUGGAAUAGCCAACCAGCCACUAAUAUUCACUUCCCUUUAGCUAGUUUGUCUCUGUGUUAUUAAUACCAUGCAGCUCCAUGCUCUUCCACAUCCCCAUGACAGUCAAUCAUCUGGUCAAUUUGAUUUUUUUAAGCCUUAAUUGAACCCCUAAAAUGUGUUUACUCUGAAUGCAUUAAGGUUAUACUUAUCAAAUCGGAACUAUACUCCCUCCUUAAAUUAUCUUGAAAACAAAAUCAAUAGUUUAUUUAACCAGAGUCAAAAGAAAAAGAAAAGGGAAAAAAAUGCCCUGGGGAAUUUGUGUAAUAAGUUUUACUUAGAAAGAAACAAUGUGGAUAAACGGGGAAAGAAUUUCAGUGUGAGGCAAAGAAUAUGGGGUAGCUUGGAGGAAUAGACAGGCACCUAAUUUAAUAUUGUUCCUUUCUGUGCAGUUUCUUACAAAAUAGGUCACCAGCUUUUGUUGCUUUCUGAGCAAGCCAUAGGAAUAAACAACCGGCUGACAUUUUUUAAAUAUGACAGCAGCUGGAUUUAAUACAGGCAUUUAUAGCAUUUCUUUAACCAAAUAUUUGAGAUCAUUAAAAAACUGGGCUGACUAUUAAUGCCU
rnacentral:lncRNA from 1 species